GUGGAGAAUCGCUCCAUAAAAGCGGCGCUGCAGGUGUGUUAAGAGCAGUCUUUAAUAUUAAUAUCGUUAAUAUGAUGUGAGCGUGUGAAGCUCUUACUUUCACCCCUGAUUAUUUCCCAUCUUUAGCUUCAUAAUGACAUUAAUUAAGGAUCAGACUCGUAUCUGGUGUCGUGGCAGACGUAGUGUGUUUGACAAACUGCUGGUAUUUUUUUC